rnacentral:rRNA from 1 species
UGGAAUCGCUAGUAAUCGCGGAUCAGCAUGCCGCGGUGAAUACGUUCCCGGGCCUUGUACACACCGCCCGUCACACCAUGGGAGUCGGUAACACCCGAAGCCUGUAGUCUAACCGCAAGGAGGACGCAGUCGAAGGUGGGAUUGAUGACUGGGGUGAAGUCGUAACAAGGUAGC